rnacentral:rRNA from 1 species
AGCAGCCGCGGUAAUUCCAGCUCCAAUAGCGUAUAUUAAAGUUGCUGCAGUUAAAAAGCUCGUAGUUGGAUUUCUGGCUUGAAACACUUGGCCGGCCACGGUUUCGUGUGCUUGUGCUUUGUGUUCUGGCCAUCCUUCCAAUUGCUAUCUACCUUUCUUCAUUGAUUGGUAGGUGGUAUUGGAUCUUUUACUUUGAAAAAAU